UUGGCACCAGGAGCCGAUGAAGGACGUGGUAAGCUGCGAAAAGCUGCGGGUAGCCGCAAACAGGCUGUGAUCCGCAGAUGUCCGAAUGGGGGAACCCGCAUGGCUAACGCCAUGCAUCCUUAGCUGAAUCCAUAGGCUAAGGAGGGCACACCCGGGGAACUGAAACAUCUAAGUACCCGGAGGAAAAGAAAGAAUAAUCGAUUCCCUAAGUAGCGGCGAGCGAAAGGGGAGGAGCCCAAACCAGAGGAAACUCUGGGGUUGCGGACAGGUCAAGAAAGCGAAGGAGUUCUUAGUCGAAUAGGUCUGGAAAGGCCAGCCACAGAAGGUAAAAGCCCUGUAGGCGAAAAGGACUUUGAGCGAGACCUGAUCCAGAGUACCACGGGACACGAGGAACCCUGUGGGAAGCAGGGAGGACCACCUCCCAAGGCUAAAUACUACCUGGUGACCGAUAGCGCAUAGUACCGUNNNNNNNN
rnacentral:ncRNA from 1 species